UGCUUGUUGGGGUGUUGUAUUAUAGGUUUGGCCUGCUCGGUGUUGGUAUUAACAGCCGCGGUAUUUUGACUGUGCAAAGGUAGCAUAAUCAUUAGUUAUUUAAUUGGUAUCUGGAAUGAAUGGUUUGACGGGGGAGUGUUGUUUAGGAGGGUUAUUUUGAAUUUUAAUUUUUUGUGAGGAUGCGGAAAUGGUGCUAUUUGACGAGAAGACCCUAUAAAGCUUUAGUAUUGUAUUUGGGGUUUUGUUUUUUUUAUUUUUGUUGGGGCAACUUGAUUUAUUAGGAAAUUAUUAUUAUUUUGGUGGAUGUAUUAUUUUUAGACUUUUAUUUGAUCCAGUUUUGUUGAUAUAUAGGUAAGCUACUUUAGGGAUAACAGCGUAAUUAUAUUGGAAAGUUCUUAUUGAUGGUGUAGUUUGCGACCUCGAUGUUGAAUUAAGAGUCUUUUUGGCUGUAGUGGGUUGAAUGGGAGGUCUGUUCGACCUUUAUACUNUUACA
rnacentral:rRNA from 1 species